UGAAGUAAGUAAGGGCGUACGGUGAAUGCCUUGGUGCCAACAGGCGAAGAAGGACGCGGCAAGCUGCGAAAAGCCUCGGGAAGCUGCAAGCAAGCGAUGAUCCGGGGAUAUCCGAAUGGGGUAACCUGAUCGAGGCAAUACUCGAUCGUUCAUACCUGAAUACAUAGGGUAUGAAACGCGAAACCCGCUGAAGUGAAACAUCUCAGUAAGCGGAGGAAAAGAAAGAGAAAUCGAUUCCGUAAGUAGUGGCGAGCGAAAGCGGAUGGAGCCCAAACCGAAGGUAUUCCUUCGGGGUUGUAGGACCACGUCAUAUUCGACCAUACUGGAUAGUAGAACAGCCUGGAAAGGCUGGCCGGAGAAGGUGAAAGCCCUGUAGACGAAAUCCAGAGUGGGAAUUAGUGGUAUCCUGAGUAAUACAUCACACGUGGAACGAUGUAUGAACCCGCGCGGACCACCGCGCAAGGCUAAAUACUAGUUGGCGACCGAUAGUGAACAAGUACCGCGAGGGAAAGGUGAAAAGAACCGCUGUGAGCGGAGUGAAAUAGAACCUGAAACCGUAUGUCUACAAAGUGUCAGAGCAGAGCAAUCUGCGAUGGCGUGCCUUUUGUUUAAUGAGUCUGCGAGUCAGUGUUUGUGGCAAGACUAAGGGCUUCCGGCCCGGAGUCGCAGCGAAAGCAAGUCCGAACAGGGCGCAAUAAGUCGCAGGUACUGGACCCGAAGCGGAGGUGACCUACCCUUGGCCAGGUUGAAGCAUGGGUAAAACCAUGUGGAGGACCGAACAGGUGAACGUUGAAAAGUUCUCUGAUGAGCUGAGGGUAGGAGUGAAAGGCUAAUCAAACCCCGUGAUAGCUGGUUCUCUUCGAAAUGCAUUUAGGUGCAGCGUCACGUGCUGAUGCGCGGGGGUAGAGCACUGACAAGGCUAGGGGGCACACCCGCUUACCAAACCUUAUCAAACUCCGAAUACCGUGCAAUGGAACGUGGCAGUGAGACAGUGGGGGAUAAGCUUCAUUGUCGAGAGGGAAACAACCCAGACCAGCAGCUAAGGUGCCUAAAUAACGCUCAGUGGAAAGGAUGUGGGAUUACACAGACAGUGAGGAUGUUGGCUUAGAAGCAGCCACCAUUUAAAAAAUGCGUAAUAGCUUACUCAUCGAGUGAUCCUGCGCCGAAAAUGAUUGGCGAUCAAGCGUUAUACCGAAGCUCUGGACUUUGCCGCAAGGCAGAGUGGUAGAAGAGCGUUGCAUGCGCGUCGAAGGGCGAUGGCGACUGACCCUGGAGCACAUGCAAGUGAGUAUGCAGACAUGAGUAACGUUAAGCCGGGUGAAAUCCCCGGCCGCCGUAAACCCGAGGUUUCCAGGGCAACGUGUUUCGUCCCUGGGUUAGCCGGGACCUAAGCCGAGGCCGAGAGGCGUAGGCGAUGGACAUCAGGUUAAUAAUCCUGAGCUCGCAACCCUUAAACUGGGGGGACGCAUGAGAAAAGAUGACUAGGUUAUUGAAUUCCGAGUUGAGUCUACGGACUCAGCGCAUCAUUGGAUCGAGUGCCAAGAAAAGCCCCAGCGUAUGCUAAGCGACCCGUACCGCAAACCGACACAGGUGGGUGGGUAGAAUAUACCAAGGCGUAAGAGUGAAACCUGGUUAAGGAACUCGGCAAAUUAGCCCCGUAACUUCGGAAGAAGGGGUGCCUGCAGCGAUGCAGGCCGCAGAGAAAUGGCCCAACCGACUGUUUAUCAAAAACACAGCACUCUGCAAAGACGCAAGUCGAAGUAUAGGGUGUGACACGUGACCAAUGCCGAAAGAUUAAGGCAAGGGGUUAGCCGCAAGGCGAAGCUCUAAACCCAAGUCCCGGUGAAUGUCGGCCGUAACUAUAACGGUCCUAAGGUAGCGAAAUUCCUUGUCGGGUAAGUUCCGACCUGCACGAAUGGUGUAA
rnacentral:rRNA from 1 species